rnacentral:rRNA from 1 species
UACGUAGGGUGCGAGCGUUAAUCGGAAUUACUGGGCGUAAAGAGCGCGUAGGCGGUUCGUUAUGUCUGUGGUGAAAGCCCUGGGCUCAACCUAGGAAUGGCCAUGGAAACUGGCGGGCUGGAGUAUGGCAGAGGGGGGUGGAAUUCCGCGUGUAGCAGUGAAAUGCGUAGAGAUGCGGAGGAACACCGAUGGCGAAGGCAGCCCGCUGGGCUAAUACUGACGCUGAGGCACGAAAGCGUGGGGAGCAAACAGG